rnacentral:rRNA from 1 species
GUAAGGAAUAUUGGACAAUGGACGCAAGUCUGAUCCAGCCAUGCCGCGUGAAGGAUUAAGGUCCUCUGGAUUGUAAACUUCUUUUAUAAGGGACGAAAAAAGGCUUUUCUAAGUCGUCUGACGGUACCUUAUGAAUAAGCACCGGCUAACUCCGUGCCAGCAGCCGCGGUAAUACGGAGGGUGCAAGCGUUAUUCGGAUUCACUGGGUUUAAAGGGUGCGUCGGCGGGCAGGUAAGUCAGUGGUGAAAUCCUAGAGCUUAACUCUAGAACUGCCAUUGAUACUAUCUGUCUUGAAUAUUGUGGAGGUAAGCGGAAUAUGUCAUGUAGCGGUGAAAUGCUUAGAUAUGACAUAGAACACCUAUUUCGAAGGCAGCUUACUACGCAUAUAGUGACGCUGAGGCACGAAAGCGUGGGGAUCAAACAGGAUUAGAAACCCCGGUAGUCC